AGAGAAAUGACAGAGAGCAGUUGAUCAUGGAUAAGCCAGUUUGCCUCAUUAACAAAGACUCAGAUGGGAAGCUUUGUGUACAGCAGUCAGCGCUGCAGAUCCUUCUGAAGAUCGAUCAGCCGGUGGUGGUGGUGGCUGUGUUCGGUCUCUAUCGCACUGGGAAAUCCUACCUGAUGAAUCGACUCGCCGAGAAACAAACAGUAUGAAAUUAUCAGGGUUUGCAUUGGGGAGCACAAAGGAGUCCAAGACAAAGGCAUCUGGAUGUGGUGUGUGCCCCACCCCUCUAAAAAAGAAACCACUCUGGUGUUGCUGGACACUGAGGGACUCUGAGACGUCA